rnacentral:rRNA from 1 species
AGAGUUUGAUCCUGGCUCAGGACGAACGCUGGCGGCGUGCUUAACACAUGCAAGUCGAGCGGAAAGGCCCUUCGGGGUACUCGAGCGGCGAACGGGUGAGUAACACGUGAGCAACCUGCCCCUGGCUCUGGGAUAGCCUCCGGAAACGGGGAUUAAUACUGGAUAUUCACUGCUUCCUGCAUGGGGGGUGGUGGAAAGUUUUUCGGUCAGGGUGGGGCUCGCGGCCUAUCAGCUUGUUGGGGGGGUGACGGCCCACCAAGGCGACGACGGGUAGCCGGCCUGAGAGGGCGACCGGCCACACUGGGACUGAGACACGGCCCAGACUCCUACGGGAGGCAGCAGUGGGGAAUAUUGCGCAAUGGGCGGAAGCCUGACGCAGCGACGCCGCGUGCGGGAUGAAGGCCUUCGGGUUGUAAA